rnacentral:lncRNA from 1 species
UUCAUGCUUCAGGACAUGAAACAGCCUCCUACAGGAGGUUUAGGAAGGAAUUUAUAUCUUAAAUCUAAAUAAUUAUAUGAUUUACUGCUGAAAUAUUGGGCUAUUAUUUCUCAUCUUCACGAAAAAGAUGUCCUACAUAGGAGCAGUGGGCCUCUAUUUUGAUAUGCUGUGGUGAUUGCCAUAGAGUGGUGUCUUCAUGUAAAUACACCACACCGUUGCUGACAUUCUGGGAGCUGCAGUAUGUAACAAAUCCUUUGUUAUAGUGAGCACCAUGUCAGCAAAGAGCUAAGAUUCAGAAAUGAAACUUUGUGCCAUUUCAGGAUAUGAAAAACAACUGAAAAAGGCCUCUAGUGCUCAGGUCUUGCGUUAGGGUAAUGUGGUCAACAGUCAGGAAAUAGAGAGGUGUGAAGGUACAUGCCCGGCAGUUGUCAACCUACCUCUUCAGGACUGAUGGUCAUUGCUGCAGAAAAGUUCAUCAAAGUUAACAAAAUACCAAAUAAGUGGUGACAUCUCCUUUCUUGACAUAUUCAAGUUGACACUGGGGAUAUCUGGAAUACAUGUCAGCAAAACAGAAUGCAGUAGAUUCAAUACCAAAGUAUCCAAGCAAAGCCAGAACAGAAGAAAAAAUAUUCUCCCCUGGGCUUGGUCAUCAGUAUAAGAAGACUGCCAGAGUGUUAGCUGAGCUGUUCUUCGUGAUGUUUGAACUGUUCAGACAGCUUUCCCAGAGAACAAGAGCCAAAGAGAAAAACAAAAGGAAUUCCAAAAACAACUUCUACAAACCAAGAAGAAAAUGCUCUGUAAAUAUUAAUACUUCACUGAAAACUUCAGUGUGCUCAACAAACAUCAGUUACUUUAACCCCAGUUAGGGAAGAUAAAUAGUAAAAACAAAUAGUAAAACAAGUAGUGAAAAACAAACCAGAACGCAGGAAGAGAGCCUAUCAAAAUGACACUGCUGCUGACUUCAGGGGUCUUUGGGGAAGGUACCCUCUGGACUGUGGCAGGGUGCAGGAAAGAGCCUGAAUCUCUUCUGUUCUUCCACAAAAAUAGUAACCUAGCAUUAUAUGAAGUAAGAUAAUGGUAUAACACAUAGGUGCUCACCGUAAACCAGUGUGUAAAACUGAGUUUCACUACUUGCCUAGUGUACAUGCCAUUGAUAAACAUGAAUAAUGAUACUCUCUGUUACUGCAGUACCAUUUAUCAUGAAGUAUUCAAGGACUGUUUAUAAAAGAUGUGCAGCAUAUUUUAGAAGGAAAAAAAAAAGUAAUCAGACAAAAGACAUAUGGUAUUUUUAGCAAAUAUGCUGUAUUCUGAAGUUGUUUUUGCUGAUGGGAUUGAAGCUAAGAGUAACUGCUACUAGUAAAAGAUGCAAAUAUUAAAUAUAGUAGAAGUAAUGGAUAGGGCUGAUUAAAAGGUAUUAUUUUUAACUGGAGUGAUAGCUGUUUUUAGUCUAUCCUAGGCUGAAAUGAAGAACCAGUAUCAGAAUUUUCUUCAGAAAAAAAAAAAUAUUAUGUUCAGCUGUAUUAACUUUUUCCAUUUUGAUGAAAUCAAUAUGUUAACGUAAAAUGUUUUGACCUUAUCUAUCCCUCUUUAGAAAAGGAAGGAAGGUUUAUGUACUCAUACUGUUUAUGACACUGAUUUUAUGACACUUCAGUUUUAUGGAUUAAAGAAUAGGCUUGACUGACACAUGCUUAUCCAUAAGGAAUUACACAACUACCAGUUCGUAGACACUAAUCUACCUUGUCUUUGAAGGCCACCUGCAUUAAGAAUGUUUUCAGAUUUCUAAUGAGAUUUCUUGAGAUCUAACAUUUUAAGAAAAUAGUUUUUGUAGCCUUUACUGUUAAUAGGAGUUACAUUAAUGUAUCAGGGGAAGAGUGUGCCUUGUGGAUAUUUUCUUAUUUCCAUUCAGUAUUGCUGCUCCAAUGUCUACUGUGGAUUUGUUCUCCAUUUUGGAGAAAGCUGAUUUAUAUGCUAAUGGUCUCACUGUGGUUCACUGAAAUGAAAACUUGUUUUAAAAGGGAACAAUACUGUAACUCUACCUGGUAAGUGUGGGUGACAGCUGUUGGCAGUUCAUAGUUGGAACUACUAUUUUAACAAUUGUUUCUCUUCUUUUCUUGAAUCAGUGAUGGAGUGUUACCAUUAGGGCAUUUUAUGUAGAAGCACCUACUUCUUUUAAGAGAAACAGACUUGCAGUGUGGAGCUUGGAGAUGAGGCACCUGUUAGUUAUUUGCUCAAUCAGUAGCAAAUUGGGAUCUGAAUUCUAAAAAAUUCCCCCUUUCAGCUGCAACAGUUCUUCAGGAAAUGGGAUUACACUGAAUUUAGAAAUGCUAACUGUUUAAAACUCGUGCAAAACUGAAAUAGAUGUGUCAGCCUGUGGCAGGGGAACAGCUCAGUGCUCUGGGGAAACAGGAUCUUGUGGUGCUGGAUCAUGUGCUUGAGCCCACUCCAGCUCUGACUCUGAAAAUAGCUGCUCUCUGAUAGUUUCUUGCCUGUUGAUGUGGAAUGAAGCCUAUGCCCUAAAUGACAGCUCUUCAUCAUAAAACUUACCUGUGCUGUGAGAAUUAACAAACCCUUAAAGGUCAAAUCUAAAAUUGGGCUUGGCACCUGUUCUCAUGGUACUUUUGGCACUGGGGAUGACCUUAUUCAGGUCUUUUACACUUGGGGAAUCCCUUUGUCCAUCACAUUCUGGCACUCAGUUUUGUGUAGGCAGGGGUAGGUUGAAGAAGUGCUGGAGAACAUUUGGGGAGGGCACACAGUGUCUCAUGUGCAAAUGGCCUUUGGCUGAAGGACAAUGAUAGAACAAAGCUGUUUAUAGGGAGGCAGGCAAGGAGGGAGGAAGACAUUUGCAGAAUAGCUUGAAUGCAGUUCAGAUGUUUGCACAAAUGGAGAAAAAAAAAAAAAGGAGUUAGGAACAGCCGAAGCUAGACGAGCUAGAAAACUUAUCUCUAGUUGAGCAAUAGGCUUUUAAAUGAAGAGGAGGAACAGUCAGGGCUUGUUUCCUCUGCUUCGAACAAGGUAGGGCUGGCUGAGUUGGAAAGGUUAUGUGGGGUGGGUAGGUCAGAAAAUUCAGCUAACAUGUCAAUGUGGAGGAUGAACAGGUUGGGUAUAGGGUGCAGCACUAAGUCAGAAGAAAUCUGAAUAUACAUGAAUUUGCCUAAUUUUAACUAGCCAAAUUUUAAUAUUUUCUCUAAAGACUUUUUUUUUUUUGUCUCCAACAAAAUCUCUGGAAAAGCUCUGAGUUAAACAAAUUCUAAAAAAUAAGGGUCUGAACCAUCAGUAUUUGUCAGGUUAAAUGAUUUCUUAGCGCACAAUUUUUAGACCCCUUGAUUUCUUAUGGUCCUGCAAAAUAAACUGUGCAAUUUGCAAUACA